AGCCUCCCAAAAUGCUGGGAUUACAGGCGUGAGCCACCGCGCCUGGCCCAGAUCUGUAAUUUUUUUAAAGAAAUGAAAUAUUGGGCAUGGUGGCUCAUGCCUGUAAUCUCAGCUACUCAGGAAGCUGAGAUGGAAGGAUCACUUGAGGCCAGGAGUUCAAGACCAGCCUGGGCAAUAUAGAGAGACCCUCCACUUACCCGCCACUCCAUAAAAGGCUGCUCCGAAGGCAGUGAGUCUUAAUUGAUUGUGCACAGUCAGUUGCAGAUCGAACUCCUUAUUCAGUUCUUUCUUCUCUCAUCACUACUGCACUUGGCUAGUCUAAAAAAGUGUUUAAGGAAAGAAAAACCAAUGAAAUAUUAUAGAUAAAGUCUAAGUUUGUGUUCUAUCCACAGUGCCAUCCACCGCUUUCCCCACCAAAAGACAACUAAUAGUAAAAUUUGGUGUACUUUAAUACUUUUUAAAUAUUUAAUUGUUAAAAAUAGUAUUAUUUUAUGUUUUCUUUAAAUGUGCAUAAGUGAAAUCAGUACAUAAUUGGAAUCAUUGAAUAUACAUUUAUAGAACUUGCUUUUUUUGUAUUAUUUUUUCAGUUUUAUUCAUACUGACACAUAUAGAUCUAGUUUAUUGAUAAGUCAUAAGUGGUAAGUUUGAUGAAGUUUCAGUCAACAGACCUAUAGAAGCAACAUCCAGAUCAAG
rnacentral:lncRNA from 1 species